rnacentral:ncRNA from 1 species
GGGCAGUAGGGAGAGCCUCUGAGGUCUCCCAGGAAGGCUGUAGUAGAAAACCCCUCUAGCCACACCCCCACGGGUACUCAGCAGUAAUUAACCUCAAGCAAUAAGUGAAAACUUGACUUAGUUAUAGUAACAUUUAGGGUUGGUAAAUCUUGUGCCAGCCACCGCGGUCACACAAGAAACCCAGAUUAACUGUAAUCCGGCGUAAAGAGUGGUAUCCAUGCUAUCACACCAACUAAGAUCAAAAUGUAACUGAGCUGUCAUAAGCCCAAGAUGCACCUAAACCCACCUUCAAGAUGAUCUUAGCACCCAUGAUCAACUAAACUCCACGAAAGCUAAGGCACAAACUGGGAUUAGAUACCCCACUAUGCUUAGCCCUAAAUCGUGAUACUUACCCCACCGAAGUAUCCACCUGAGAACUACGAGCACAAACGCUUAAAACUCGAAGGACUUGGCGGUGCCCCAAACCCACCUAGAGGAGCCUGUUCUGUAAUCAAUAACCCACGAU